AAGAUUUUAAGUUAAUAAAUAAACUAUUAACCUUCAAAGUUAAAAAUAAAUAAAUUUUUAAAUCUUA
rnacentral:tRNA from 1 species